rnacentral:rRNA from 1 species
AAGACGAUAAGACCCCAUGAAACUUUAGUGUGGCUUAUUUUUAAGGUGGGCAUUGAAUGUUUUUAACUUUGAGAGGCAGUGCUCUUUGGCUGGGGCGGUUCAGAGGUGUGAACCCUCUGAAAAGUUGGGUUAACUUGUGGGUGUUGAACCAUUAUAGCGGUUGUGGUAAUAGAAUAAGUUACUCUGGGGAUAACAGCGUAAUCUUUCCGGAGAGUUCUUAUUGAUGGUAGGGUUUGCGACCUCGAUGUUG